AAGGUUUCCGUAGGUGAACCUGCGGAAGGAUCAUUGUCGUUUGCUCGGAAAAACACGACCCCUGUGCACGUAACCUAAUCAACCUAUGCCGGGGAGGCAUGCCUCCUCGGCCCACCGGCCGCGGUCCUCACCCGGGCCGUGCGUCGGGAAUUCGGCGCGGUCUGCGCCAAGGAACACGAGAUGCUGAGGCGGCCGGCGGAGCGUGCUCUGCCCGCCGCCGACGCAAAGGAAUACAUGAUGACUCUCGGCAACGGAUAUCUCGGCUCUCGCAUCGAUGAAGAACGUAGCGAAAUGCGAUACGUGGUGUGAAUUGCAGAAUCCCGCGAACCAUCGAGUCUUUGAACGCAAGUUGCGCCCGAGGGAUCCGCCCAAGGGCACGCCUGCCUGGGCGUUAGAAGCCCAUCCACGCUCGGUGCUCACUCAGCCCCGAUGCGGAUCGUGGCCCUCCGAGCCCAAGCGGCGCGGUGGGCCUAAUUGCGCGGCCGCCGAGAGGAGUCGGGAGCGGCGAGUGGUGGAACGCUGCGUUCGCCGCCCCGUGCCCCUCUGCCGGCGCGUGGCCUUGACCGACCCAUAAACGAGGAGCCGUGCCCACAGCGGCAGGGGCCCUUCGGAUCGAUACCCCAGGUCAGGCGGGGCUACCCGCCCAUAUAGAAAAACCCCA
rnacentral:rRNA from 1 species